GCUUGAAACAACACUUAACUUUCUGCUUGUACUGUUAAUUCUUAGGAUUGCAAGUUACCAGCGACGAAUUCAAAAAGACACGCAAUAAUGCAGAUGAAAGGCCUAGCGGUCAAUCAAAAGGCUUACUGUUGGUCUUCUUAAGUGCUCUCUUUUGCAAGCUAAUCGGAAGACAUGUUGUUGACGGGGAAGGCAGUGACUGGUUAGUGCUGAAAAAAAAUGUAGGGGUUUGAUAAUUGUUCUUCAAUUUUCCAAUUAGACCCGGAUGUCAAUGGAGAGGGUUCUUCCAUCUGUAUCAAGGUAUUUGCUUUCUUUUCUUCUCGCUUUACUUGUUAUAUAGAUGGAUUUAGCAAAAAUUAACGAGAGGGAGUAAAUAAUAAUAUAAUAAUAGUUAACGAGACAUUGUAAAAAGGGUUUUCUUCUUUUCAUUCUUAUAAAACAAACAGUUUUGUGGUGUUAAUGGAAGAUAAGGAAUCAUACAUACCCUUCACAACUUCAUCAAUUGCAUCUGCUGUUGUCAAGCUCCUUCUCAGUCGACUCCUCUUGUGUAAUUCUGCUUUCUAGUAGUGCAACCAGCUAAAACCCUUGAUUUUUGUAUUUUUGUACUUUUUUUGGAAGCUAAAAUUGGGUGAAGUUUUCGCUUUACACAGCCACUAAUGGGGGCAAAACGGCAGCUGCUUAUUGAGCAAAAUGCACAGCUCUACAAUCAUAUAUCUGCAAAUUCUGCAUCCUAACUAUCAGGUAAAUUCAUCAUUUCUUAUGGCUUGAAAAAACCAUUUGUUGAAUGUUAUAUCGGGAAUGAGAUUCUGGAUUGCUGAUAAAAAAUUCCUAAUCGAACUUGGUUAAUCAUGGAAUUGGCCGAAUAGAUACAGUGAGCUUAAUUACUAUCUUUUUUAUGUAUGUACACGUACAUGUUUAUUGCGGUAGCAGGAUAACAUCAAUCCAUUUUGUCAGACUACAUAUAUUCUCAGCACCAUGAAUGCGCCGGUAUGUUGUCGUUUUGUUUCUUUUCUUGAAUGUCUAAUUAUGCUUUACUUUCUUCCCUUGUUGUACCUUUGGGUAUGUAUGAAUAUGGGUUGGCACUAGAUUAACAUUCAAAAUAUUAUCAGACAAGCACAGCUGCGCCAUACCAGUGUUUUUUCGUAUUUUUUAGAUGAGGUUUUAUAAGUCUAUACCAGUGUUGAACAAGGCUAAGUUAAGAAAAUGACUUAGAUCCGAGUAAUUGACGAAGACUAAACUUAAGAGGGAACUGGCUCUGGCCGUGCCAUCAAAUUGGGGGACUUCUGGAGUUGUUAUGAGGUUUUAUUCAACUCUCAGUUCAGAAUAGUUGGCCAACUCACCUCACCUCCCUACCUGUACUCGAUCACCGUUUCUGGAGUGACGUUUUAGUUGGUUAUCUCUUCAUGCUUCAGCCGGCAUUUGCUGGAAGAUGGCGUUGAAUUCACUUUUAAUAGGUUUUGUCCAUUUUGUUUUCUUUUGAUUCACUUUUAUAAGUUUAUUUUUCUUCUUAAAAAUUAGAAUUAUGGCCAUUUCAUAUGAUUGGAAAAUAGAUGUAUGGAAGGCAAUGAGGAUGAAAUAUUUAGGAGAGGAAAACUUCAGUAUGAUGACAAAGCAUAUCUCAACAAAAUUCACUGGUAUUACAUGAUUGUUGAUGAGGGAAUUGGUUCAAAGAUCAUGAGUGUGCACUUGCGCCUACUCUUUCAAAAGAUUAUGGUAUUUACAUAGUUUCCAGUUUCUCCUCUUUUGUUCCGGCAUGGUUAACAACUUGACACGUAUAGACAGUGCCUGUUCAGACGGAUAUUAUUUGCUGCAUAUGUUACACAAUUAGAGAAAACGAGGGGCGGCAUGGAAGUGGAAUUCUGUUAACUGAUACUCCAAUACAGAAUAGUCUGCCCACUGGUAAACUGUGGAAGUAUAUGAAGAUGGUGGAAUGUGCUCGUGGCACUUCUUCAUAUCCUUUAAGCUCCCCGUGAGGGGAAUAUCUGCAUCCGAAUAAGCUUGUCCUGUCUCAUAUUUUCUUUUUGCUUCUUAAAUUGCAUGAUAAUUUAUGGUUUUGAGUUCUGAUUUUGCGCCUGAAAGUGAACCAAGUUUGACAUGAUGAUUUGAUAUUUGCCGAGCAUGCUGCCAGUAGUUGAUAUUUCAGAACAUGAGAAUUUAGAAGUGUGAUCUAACCCUUACUUUUUACUGUUUCAUAACUUGACAUCAGUCUUAUGUCCAUCUUUAAUGCUGAGUAGCUGAGGACAGGAAAGAGAUGUUGAUGGCUGAAGAGAGAAGACAAAGGGAUAGUUGCAGAUCGAGGUUUAGUGGAGGACCAUGAAGUCCCUGAGUGGGUAUACUCUGCGCCAAGGACAUGAAUCUUAUGUUCAUCUUUUCUGUUGAGUGUUGGGGACACAAGGCGCCUGUUGGUCGAUCAGUUUGAUUGAAAAUGCAACUAGCAGUAGAUACAAAAUGACAUUAUGUAGGCUGUGGCCUGUGGGCGAUUAAUGUUAGGUUCUUCUCAGAUAAUGUGUUUGGUUUUUAAUUACUUGAAUGGGAUGUCAUAAGCUUAACUUCCUCUCUUUUCAACCAAACAAGCGAUUUUUUUUUUUUGUUUCA